GCAGUGAUAGUCUAGUGGUUAGGACUUUGGGUUGUGGCCGCAAGAACCCCGGUUCGAAUCCGGGUCACGGCA